AUUCUUGACGCCCCCUGCAGGAAAUGUAUUAGCGGUGCAAAUGCGGGUUAUGUCAGAAAAGGGCUGGUUGUGUCCGCCAGCAACCAUAAAGGGGCUAAUUAGUGGUAGGUUUUAUGAAGGCAUAGCGGCCCCUUGGCGCGGAGUGGUAAAGCAGCAGUAGUGCAGAUAUUGUGGUCUGAACUCUCUGUGCUCACGACCUGAGUUCGAUUUCGGCGGAAGCUGGAUUCAGGUUUUUGUCUCCUUGUGGCAGCUGCCUUUCUUGGCUAAUGGACAGAACGUAUGUUACUUUCAUCCUCUUCUUGGGGCUUUCUUCAAAGCAGCAGGCUGGCUCAUCAUGGAAACAGAAGGCUAUGUUUCGGAUCAAUGAAAUCAGAAGAGCAAGAGGAAGUUGGUUACAACUGUCAGCAAAACUAGCAGAGAGUGGUAGGAGACAGGUGGUCUUGGAGGAGGUGGAGACAGUCAACCCACUGGCCUUCAAAGUGCUGAUGUAGCCUAUAACUCCAAGACAAACUUGUGAUUUUUUACUGCUCGGAGUAUGUAAAGUCUAAGAGGAGAACCAGGAGGCAGAGUCCUAAACAUCUUUCGUCUCUCCAAUUUUAACCAACCACCACAGCUGCAGCAGAAGCAAACCUUUGGUAUGUGAGCAUGUGGCAUGCUGGGUGGUUAAUGAGUCAGUAAUGUGAAAGCCUCAACAUAGAUUGCCUUGAUAAUAUGAUUCAAUAAACAUAGCAUUUGUAUUCAA